UCUGUGGAUAGGUCUUCAAAACUGAUAUUGAGGUUUCUAAUAUAAUUUUUUUCUAAACUGGAUAAGACCCGCGAGAGACACUUCCAAAGUGGUAAAAUAUGUGUCCCCCCCCCCCCGUAACUUCUAAAAUAAGAGAAUGAUAAAACUAAAGAAAAUAAAUGAUGUACAUAACUUCCACCGAAAAUUGGUUUGAACGAGAUCUAGUAAGUAGUUUUUAGGGUUCCGUAGCCAAAUGGCAAAAAACGGAACCCUUAUAGAUACGUCAUGUCUGUCUGUCUGUCCGUCUGUCUGUCCGUCCGUAUGUCACAGCCACUUUUUUCCGAAACUAUAAGAACUAUACGGUUGAAACUUCCUAAGAAGAUGUAUUCUGUGAACCGCAUUAAGAUUUUGACACAAAAAUAGAAAAAAAA